rnacentral:rRNA from 1 species
UACGGAGGAUGCGAGCGUUAUCCGGAUUUAUUGGGUUUAAAGGGUGCGUAGGCUGCUUUUUAAGUCAGCGGUGAAAUUUUGCAGCUUAACUGUAACAGUGCCGUUGAUACUGGGGAGCUAGGAUUUGGUUGCUGUGGGUGGAAUGUGUGGUGUAGCGGUGAAAUGCUUAGAGAUCACACAGAAUAUCGAUUGCGAAGGCAGCUCACAAAGCCAAGAUUGACGCUGAGGCACGAAAGCGUGGGGAGCAAACAGGA